AGCAGCCGCGGUAAUUCCAGCUCCAAUAGCGUAUAUUAAAGUUGUUGCAGUUAAAAAGCUCGUAGUUGAAUUUCGGGAUCAAUUAGUCGGUCGUGCCUCUGGUACGUACUGGUUUUAUUGGUUCCUCCCUUCUGACGAAACAUGAUGUCAUUAAUUUGGUGUCGUGGAGAAUCAGGACUGUUACCUUGAAAAAAUUAGAGUGUUUAUAGCAGGCUAACGCUUGAAUACAUUAGCAUGGAAUAAUGAAAUAGGACGUUCGACCCUAUUUUGUUGGUUUCUAGGAUCGACGUAAUGAUUAAUAGGGAUAGUUGGGGGCAUUAGUAUUCAAUUGUCAGAGGUGAAAUUCUUGGAUUUAUUGAAGACUAACUACUGCGAAAGCAUUUGCCAAGGAUGUUUUCAUUAAUCAAGAACGAAAGUUAGGGGAUCGAAGACGAUCAGAUACCGUCGUAGUCUUAACCAUAAACUAUGCCGACUAGGGAUCGGAUGAUGUUAAUUUUUAAUGACUCAUUCGGCGCCUUAA
rnacentral:rRNA from 1 species